rnacentral:tRNA from 1 species
GAGAGGGGUCGAGGACACUAAGGCCUGCUAAGCCCUACUUUCACAGUUCAACUCUGUGGCCCACUUAG